rnacentral:rRNA from 1 species
UACGGGGGGGGGCAAGCGUUGUUCGGAAUUACUGGGCGUAAAGGGCUCGUAGGGGGCCAACUAAGUCAGACGUGAAAUCCCUCGGCUUAACCGGGGAACUGCGUCUGAUACUGGAUGGCUUGAGGUUGGGAGAGGGAUGCGGAAUUCCAGGUGUAGCGGUGAAAUGCGUAGAUAUCUGGAGGAACACCGGUGGCGAAGGCGGCAUCCUGGACCAAUUCUGACGCUGAGGAGCGAAAGCCAGGGGAGCAAACGGG